UACCUACGGGACGCAGCAGUGGGGAAUAUUGCACAAUGGGGGAAACCCUGAUGCAGCAACGCCGCGUGAGUGAAGAAGUCAUUCGUGAUGUAAAGCUCUAUCAGCAGGGAAGAAAAUGACGGUACCUGAGUAAGAAGCCCCGGCUAACUACGUGCCAGCAGCCGCGGUAAUACGUAGGGGGCGAGCGUUAUCCGGAUUUACUGGGUGUAAUGGGAGCGUAGACGGCAGAGCAAGUCUGAAGUGAAAGCCCGCGGCCCAACUGCGGGACUGCGUUGGAAACUGCCCGGCUAGAGUGCUGGCGAGGG
rnacentral:rRNA from 1 species